GAUAAUUUAUAUUCAAGAAAUUGGAGAAAACAAAUACCGAAAUAGUGUACAAAUGUGUUAUUUGAGUUGCCUAUGCUACGAUCCAUUUAUUUCUUUAAUAAAUAUACAAUUUGCUUUGACGAAUGUCAAAAGGUGAAGAUGAACAGAUCUGCCAUAGAUAAGAGAUAUACAUAUAGUGGGUCAGUAUUAGAUAUUUUUAUCUAUAAGAUGAAAUAAAUUAUCACGCUGGCUAGCGGUUUCCAUCUUGUCCAGUCGUUUACUUGUCGUCGCUGCGUUACUGCUUACGUUUCAUGCUUUCGAUCUUGUUAAUUGUAUUAAAUAUGUAGUUGCUGUUGUUUAUUGUCCAAAAAUAAUGUGAUAAUUCGGGAAUUUAGUUAUACAAAACAUUAGAAAGAUUAUUUGAUUAUAAUCAAGUUUAUUGUUCAUCAAGAUAAUAAUAAAAUACAUUUCAUGUUGUUUUAAAGACUGAAGCGUGUAUUGAAAACAGUUUAAUUAAGUAAAAAAUAGUACCAAACAAAAGUGAUCUUCAGUGUGUUUUUUUUUCUUAAUCAAAUGGAGUUGAGCAUCUAACAUCGUGUCCAACAUCCAUUGUCCAAUCUUCAUACUGUCUUCAAAGUCGAUCGUAGAAUCACUAAGAUGCUUACAAAGAGAGAGUUGUGCCGCAUGGAAUAAAGCAAAUAGACGAACCUUCCCAUAUCCCUUCACAUAUGGCUGAUGAGUAUCAAUUACCGUUGCUUCAAUUUUUUUGGCGUAAAUUGCUUCGAAGAGUGUUCAUCGUUUAUGCUCCAACAUGGGAGUCCGUCUUGCCAUCUUGCCUGUCAACUGGUCUGCCACUUGCUUUCAAAUGACAUCCCUGGAUUCGGUGGACAAAUUAUUUCCAACAAUGGUUCUUAAUUGGCUGGCACAGGAUGCCAACAAUGUUUAAUAAAUGUACAUGGAGAGAUUAAAUCAAAAGGGCUGGAAACGUGGAAACGCAGUCCUAAUCACUCUUUUUUCUCUUGGGUUUGGAAAAGGGCUAUUUUUAGAGAAGGAUGCCAUUUAAACAUAUUAAAUGAACAAGGAGAAAAAAAUAAGGAUUUAAAACUUGGAGAAGUAGAGCCCCUUUAAUGCUCCCUCCCCUUGGACUUGAAAACACGUGUAGUCCGCUUUACGCUGAUGUAAUAUAAGGCUGCACAUGCGAUGUUCUGACUGACUGCUAUGUGACUCAUUUCUCCAUCAGUGGUAUUAUUUACCCUUUCAUAAGCAUCUAUUGUCCGAAGCAUUUCUCAGUUGUUAACGCUUGGAAAUAAAACUCGAACACCGUACCGUAAUCCUCUAGAUUGUCUCAGCAAACGAGAGAGAGUGAAGUUCCGUUUGAUCAUAUUCAAACAACCAAUGUCUACAUGGGUGUGGUCUUUUGUGAACUGUGUUGUUAAUUGGCCGUUUUCGUCUUCACCUUGCAACAUUAUGCAGUCAGUUUUCAAGUGUGGUAUCCCUCCUAGACUUGGUUUGCUCAUCACACUGGUAGACUUUCAACAAUUAAUUAAGGUUAUUCAACAAAUGAGAGAGAAUUAAUGUUCAGUUUGAU
rnacentral:lncRNA from 1 species